rnacentral:rRNA from 1 species
GUUUGAACCGCAUGGUUCAAACAUAAAAGGUGGCUUCGGCUACCACUUACAGAUGGACCCCCGGCGCAUUAGCUAGUUGGUGAGGUAAUGGCUCACCAAGGCAACGAUGCGUAGCCGACCUGAGAGGGUGAUCGGCCACACUGGGACUGAGACACGGCCCAGACUCCUACGGGAGGCAGCGGUAGGGAAUCUUCCGCAAUGGACGAAAGUCUGACGGAGCAACGCCGCGUGAGUGAUGAAGGUUUUCGGAUCGUAAAGCUCUGUUGUUAGGGAAGAACAAGUACCGUUCGAAUAGGGCGGUACCUU